rnacentral:siRNA from 1 species
UGUCUUCGUUUUAUCCUCUUGU